CCUGUUGAUGAUGAUGAACUGAUCAGCUACAUCAUUGCUGGUCUUGAUGAUGAGUACGAGCCGGUGAUUUCAACCAUCGUCGGCCGACCGAAUCAUGUGACCGUCGGAGAAGCCUUCGCUCAGCUAAUAAGCUUUGAGC
rfam:Oryza meridionalis cultivar OR44 (W2112) chromosome 1, whole genome shotgun sequence.